rnacentral:rRNA from 1 species
CAGCCGCCGCGGUAAUACAGAGGGUGCGAGCGUUAAUCGGAUUUACUGGGCGUAAAGCGCACGCAGGCGGUCUGUCAAGUCAGAUGUGAAAUCCCCGGGCUUAACCUGGGAACUGCAUUUGAAACUGGCAGGCUAGAGUCUUGUAGAGGGGGGUAGAAUUCCAGGUGUAGCGGUGAAAUGCGUAGAGAUCUGGAGGAAUACCGGUGGCGAAGGCGGCCCCCUGGACAAAGACUGACGCUCAGGUGCGAAAGCGUGGGGAGCAAACAGGAUUAGAUACCCCUGUAGUCCCUGUCUCUUAUAC